AAUGAACGCUGGCGGCAGGCCUAACACAUGCAAGUCGAACGGAUCCUUCGGGAUUAGUGGCGGACGGGCGAGUAACGCGUGGGAACAUACCCAAAGGUACGGAAUAGCCUCGGGAAACUGGGAGUAAUACCGUAUGUGCUCGAAAGAGGAAAGAUUUAUCGCCUUUGGAUUGGCCCGCGUUGGAUUAGGUAGUUGGUGGGGUAAUGGCCUACCAAGCCGACGAUCCAUAGCUGGUUUGAGAGGAUGAUCAGCCACACUGGGACUGAGACACGGCCCAGACUCCUACGGGAGGCAGCAGUGGGGAAUCUUGGACAAUGGGGGAAACCCUGAUCUAGCCAUGCCGCGUGAUCGAUGAAGGCCUUAGGGUUGUAAAGAUCUUUCAGGUGGGAAGAUAAUGACUGUACCACCAGAAGAAGCCCCGGCUAACUCCGUGCCAGCCGCCGCAGUAA
rnacentral:rRNA from 1 species